GCAUAUCAAUAAGCGGGAGAAAAGAAACCAACAGGGAUUGCCCUAGUAACGGCGAGUGAAGCGGCAACAGCUCAAAUUUGAAAUCUGGCUUCGGCCCGAGUUGUAAUUUGCAGAGGAAGCUUUAGGCGCGGCACUUUCUGAGUCCCCUGGAACGGGGCGCCAUAGAGGGUGAGAGCCCCGUAUAGUUAGAUGCCUAGCCUGUGUAAAGCUCCUUCGACGAGUCGAGUAGUUUGGGAAUGCUGCUCAAAAUGGGAGGUAAAUUUCUUCUAAAGCUAAAUACCGGCCAGAGACCGAUAGCGCACAAGUAGAGUGAUCGAAAGAUGAAAAGCACUUUGAAAAGAGGGUUAAAUAGCACGUGAAAUUGUUGAAAGGGAAGCGCUUGUGACCAGACUUGCGCCGGGCAGAUCAUCCGGUGUUCUCACCGGUGCACUCUGCCCGGCUCAGGCCAGCAUCGGUUCUCGCGGGGGGAUAAAGGCCCUGGGAACGUAGCUCCUCCGGGAGUGUUAUAGCCCGGGGCGUAAUGCCCUCGCGGGGACCGAGGUUCGCGCAUCUGCAAGGAUGCUGGCGUAAUGGUCAUCAGCGAACCGUCUUGAAACACGGACCAAGGAGUCAAGGUUUUGCGCGAGUGUUUGGGUGUAAAACCCGCACGCGUAAUGAAAGUGAACGUAGGUGAGAGCUUCGGCGCAUCAUCGACCGAUCCUGAUGUUUUCGGAUGGAUUUGAGUAGGAGCGUUAAGCCUUGGACCCGAAAGAUGGUGAACUAUGCUUGGAUAGGGUGAAGCCAGAGGAAACUCUGGUGGAGGCUCGCAGCGGUUCUGACGUGCAAAUCGAUCGUCAAAUCUGAGCAUGGGGGCGAAAGACUAAUCGAACCAUCUAGUAGCUGGUUACCGCCGAAGUUUCCCUCAGGAUAGCAGUGUUGUCUUCAGUUUUAUGAGGUAAAGCGAAUGAUUAGGGACUCGGGGGCGCUUUUUAGCCUUCAUCCAUUCUCAAACUUUAAAUAUGUAAGAAGCCCUUGUUACUUAAUUGAACGUGGGCAUUCGAAUGUACCAACACUAGUGGGCCAUUUUUGGUAAGCAGAACU
rnacentral:rRNA from 1 species